AGCGCAAAGGAUGAGCAACAGAGGGACUUAAUGCUGAAAUCUGAUGUUAACACGCAGUGUACUGAUGUGC